AUUGAAAGCUGGCGGCAGGCCUAACACAUGCAAGUCGAACGAGUGGCGGACGGGUGAGUAAUGUCUGGGAAACUGCCAGAUGGAGGGGGAUAACUACUGGAAACGGUAGCUAAUACCGCAUACCAUCGGAUGUGCCCAGAUGGGAUUAGCUAGUAGUGGGGGUAAAGGCUCAACUAGGCGACGAACCCUAGCUGGUCUGAGAGGAUGACCAGCCACACUGGAACUGAUACACGGUCCAGACUCCUACGGGAGGCAGCAGUGGGGAAUAGUGCACAAUGGGCGCAAGCCUGAUGCAGCCAUGCGGCGUGUAUGAAGAAGGCCUUCGGGUUGUAAAGUACUUUCAGCGGGGAGUCGUUACCCGCAGAAGAAGUACCGGCUAACUCCGUGCCAGCAGCCGCGGUAAUUC
rnacentral:rRNA from 1 species